UUAAAAAAGAAGAAAAAAAAGGAAUGAUUUCUUCUCAUCGCUUUUUAGCUGGGUUUUAGUCAUCAUAUGUAUGGGAUUUUAUAAUCACUGAUUUUGUUCUUGAAAGGAUAAAAAGUCAUUUCUACUAGCAAAAACCUGUACAGAAAUGUGUGUAUGACUGUCUGUAACCUCUGUUUCUCAAGAUGCUGGGUGUGAGAUUUUGGACCGAUGUCCAGGGGGCACCCCGAAAGUGCAGGGGCUGCUUCCUCUCCAAAUUCCGUUAACUCCCAGAGCUCUGGAGAGCACACGCCAAGUUCAUUCAUCUAAUCUGUACUGUUGAUCAUAUCCGCUAUCCAUUGAUACGGAACAAACGACCCCAACACUUGACAAGCAAAACCCAACCCUUGGAUCCUGACUCCCCCUGGUCACAUGACCCCAGGCCUUGGUAGUGCUGCAUUCACCCCAACAAUGAUUGGUCCAGGAGCAGAAAGUCAGCCUAUGAGGUCCUUCCUCAGAGCUUCUGUUUGAAGGUGAAGAAGGGACUUCGCCUUUGGGGUCAUGGAAUAGAAGGAUGGAUUGCGUAUGCUGUUGGCCCCUUUCCCACCAUGUGGAGAGAGCCAACCACGGCUGCAGAGAAGUUGGCUCACAGAUAGAGAAGCAAAAGCUGCAGACACUCUGUGGCCGUGUCCUAGGAGCUGGGGACACAGCAGUGAACAAACGCUUGUCCUCAAUGAGCUUCCAUUCCAACGAGAAACGAGUCAACCAGAGCAGCAAAGCACGUGGUACGGAGGGCAAGCAAAGCCUGAGCAGGGUGGAAGAGAGCGAGUGUGCAGGCUGGGCUCCACCACCACGGUGAGCACCCUGCCUUCGUGCUCUAGGUGGAGGAGCCUGUGGAGGAUUUUGAGCUACAGACGGACUCGUCUGUGCUACAGCGUCCUUUUGGCCAGACUGGGGCAGGGGAGGGCAGGGCUUGCAACAGCCCAAACAGGAAGGUGCGCUUGGGCGCGUGGGACAGGCUGAGGCUUCCCAGAGGCCCAGGGCAGCCUGUGGUGGCUUCAUGUUGAUCUUGGUGGCCGGCUGAUCACGGGGUCAGCAGCACACGACUGCCCUCAACCCGAUGAAGGCUGAGCACCCCGCCAGGCUCCACCAGGUGCAGGUGUAAGAGGACCGGUUUCAGGCACUGGUCCUUUUCACCAUAAUUUACAGGUUGAUUUGACAGGGGACAAGGUGGCUGCCUCUACAAAGAAUUUGAGCCAGGGCUCACUUAAGCCCCCUCCCCCCACAGAUCACUGGCUACACACACACACCAGCAGAUCGAGGUGAGGCGCCAGGACCUCCCUGUGGUCCACUUAGCCAUUUUCCCCAGAGGAUCUGAGGAUCUGUUUCUGGAAUUCAGGGCCAGCCCUGGUGGGAGGAGGUGUCAGAGCUGAUCAGGUUAAGUCGGAGAUUAUCUGGAGAGGGGAGGGUAUUUCGACUUUAUACUGGCCUCAAAUCGGAGCAUGCGAUAUGGGUUUGGCCACAUCUCUGUCCCUGCUGUUUUAUGUUUAUUUUGUUUGACAGUUUAUUUGUGACUUGGGCCCUAGGCAAUCCUACAUGAGGUUACAGUUUCAUAAACAGAAUAAACAAAAUGAAACAGAGCCCAUAGACUAUGUUUACAAUCCUUCUCUGGGCAGGAGGGAGGGACUAAAGCACUUGUCUGGGAGGUCUGGCGUACGCAGGCACGAGAAGCCGGCCUCCCUGGAUGCUGUGGGUGCUGUGCGCAGGGUCGCUGGAAGGUGCCUCGCAAUAUUCAACACUGAAACCCGGGAGCAUUCCUUUAUUUCACUCAGAUGACAUCUAUCCUUUUAACUUCUGAAUACUUUUUAAAGUUGCAAAGCUGAGUUUCAGUGACACAAUUUACUAAUUUCUAUAAUCCCGAGCAUCACUGCUGUCCCCAGUACUGUGUCUUGUGUUUUGAAAGGUAUGUGUGCCCAUAAAGCACGGCCUCUGCCCAGAGGUGGUGAAGCAGAGAGCGUGAGCUCCAGGAAAGAGCUGAGGGACUGACAUCCGGGUUCCUGUGGCUUGGGCCAGGCUAUCCCCCACAGCAAACCCAUCUCCAAAGGUCUCUGCUUCUCCCCACCAGGUGGAUGCGUAAAUGGCGCGCAGGACAGUUCCAGGGGCCGUCCGUGAGCUCCCAAGCUGCUCAGGCCGGCUGCCUCUGUGUCUGGGCCACUGCUUUCCACCGUUUCCCCACACUCUGCACAUUCCUGCUGAACGGGACCACUUCUUUCUCCCUUGUUAAGUUGUACACCUUCCAACAGUCUAGAGACAUCUAACUCAAUCUUCCAGACCCCCGGGCCCUGUAUCGCCUUCUUGAGAACACUUACCUUUGUCAGUAGCCUGCGGCCAUGCCAUUUCUCCAAACUGCCGGACCUUUGCUGACCCCCACAAAGGGUUUUGGGGGGCCCCCAGGGUUCCUGGACCACACUUGGUGAAACUAUGGUCUCAAUCAUGGCAAUUCUAAUGUCAUUAAAAUGAUUUUUAUCAAAGAUAUGUGACUUUGGGGCACCUGGGUGGCUCACUCAGUUAAGUGUCCAACUCUUGAUAUUGGCUCAGGUCAUGAUCCUGGUUUGGGGAUUGAGCCCCCAGGGCGGGUAGGGCUCCCAGCUCAGCGGGGAGUCUGCUUCAGGAUUCUCUUUCCCUCUGUCCCUCCCCCUGCUGGUGCACUCUCUCUCUCUCUCUCUCUUUCUGAAACAAAUAAAUCUUAAAAAGAAAAAGCUAUGUGAGUUUUAUUAGUUUAAAAAGGGAACAUAGGGGCACCUGGCUGGCUCAGUCGGAAGAGCAUGUGACUCUUGAUAUCAGGGUUGUAAGUUCGAGCCCCAUCUUGGGUGUAGAAAUUACUAAAAAAACAAAAAAACAAAAAACCUUAAAAAAGGAAAUUCAGAUUGGAUUCAAGAUUAUACUUUGUGAGCCUCUCUUUGGCUAAAGACAUCUUGCAGUCUCUGGCGACAGUUUGGAGAAUUUAUUAUUAAAUCUUCACUGGAUUCAGCAUUCGUGAAAGGUUCCGAAUCGACCAUCCUGGGUAGUAAGCACUGGGGUUACUCCCAGGGCUGGCACGGGCCAGAGGCCUGCUGUCUCAGGAAAGCUCAGCUGUAUUCCCAGGGGCUCCUUUCCAGGGACUGCAAAGAGCAAAGCCUCUGUGGCGGUAAGUCCGUGACUCCUUCCCCAACCCAGGAGAGGGGCUGCAGAUGGGUGUCUGCCAUUGACAGACCACGGCCUCCCAGCAAAGCUUCUGGGAUGUCGGAUACCAGCUGCAGAACCGCAGGACGGCCCUUUCAGCCCCGUCCGGGCCAUGAAAGUGUGUGAGAGAGUUGUGUUCUGCCCCUGCUGUGACACUGUCCUGCACACCCCGGCAUAUGUUGAAUGAGAACACAAUCCAUCUCCCAGCUGAGUAAGCGCCUUGCUUUCCGCAAGCUGACAUUCAUUACAUAAAACACAUUAUGCAAUAUUAUGAC
ensembl:lncRNA